rnacentral:rRNA from 1 species
CUCGCUGUGAAGAUGCAGUGUACCCGCGGCAAGACGGAAAGACCCCGUGAACCUUUACUAUAGCUUGACACUGAACAUUGAGCCUUGAUGUGUAGGAUAGGUGGGAGGCUUUGAAGUGUGGACGCCAGUCUGCAUGGAGCCGACCUUGAAAUACCACCCUUUAAUGUUUGAUGUUCUAACGUGGGCCCCUUACCGGGGUUGCGGACAGUGUCUGGUGGGUAGUUUGACUGGGGCGGUCUCCUCCUAAAGAGUAACGGAGGAGCACGAAGGUUGGCUAAUCCUGGUCGGACAUCAGGAGGUUAGUGCAAUGGCAUAAGCCAGCUUGACUGCGAGCGUGACGGCGCGAGCAGGUGCGAAAGCAGGUCAUAGUGAUCCGGUGGUUCUGAAUGGAAGGGCCAUCGCUCAACGGAUAAAAGGUACUCCGGGGAUAACAGGCUGAUACCGCCCAAGAGUUCAUAUCGACGGCGGUGUUUGGCACCUCGAUGUCGGCUCAUCACAUCCUGGGGCUGAAGUAGGUCCCAAGGGUAUGGCUGUUCGCCAUUUAAAGUGGUACGCGAGCUGGGUUUAGAACGUCGUGAGACAGUUCGGUCCCUAUCUGCCGUGGGCGCUGGAGAACUGAGGGGGGCUGCUCCUAGUACGAGAGGACCGGAGUGGACGCAUCACUGGUGUUCGGGUUGUCAUGCCAAUGGCACUGCCCGGUAGCUAAAUGCGGAAGAGAUAAGUGCUGAAAGCAUCUAAGCACGAAACUUGCCCCGAGAUGAGUUCUCCCUGACUCCUUGAGAGUCCUGAAGGAACGUUGAAGACGACGACGUUGAUAGGCCGGGUGUGUAAGCGCAGCGAUGCGUUGAGCUAACCGGUACUAAUGAACCGUGAGGCUUAACCUU